rnacentral:rRNA from 1 species
UACGGAGGAUCCAAGCGUUAUCCGGAUUUAUUGGGUUUAAAGGGUGCGUAGGCGGCUUAUUAAGUCAGGGGUGAAAGACGGUGGCUCAACCAUCGCAGUGCCUUUGAUACUGAUGAGCUUGAAUACACUUGAGGUAGGCGGAAUGUGACAAGUAGCGGUGAAAUGCAUAGAUAUGUCACAGAACACCAAUUGCGAAGGCAGCUUACUAAGGUGCUAUUGACGCUGAGGCACGAAAGCGUGGGGAUCAAACAGG